GCUACUAUGGUGGAAUAGGCAGACACAGGAGACUUAAAAUCUCUUGUCAGAAAUGACGUACCGGUUCAAGUCCGGUUAGUAGCA
rnacentral:tRNA from 1 species